GUUGACCUUCUUCUCUACCUCGCGACGCAUUCGCGAUGGGUGCCGCGAUGAGCGCCUUUCUGAUAAAGUAUCCUUUCAUGGUUUCCCCAAGAAUGAAAAGCUCCGCAAGAACUGGGGUAUUUCCGUUAAGAGAGGUGAAGAUGCUCAUUUCCGAGUGACGAAGUACACCAAGGUAUGCUCCAAACAUUUUUGAGAGUGUGACUUUGUACCUGGUGUAGCGAGCGGCCAUAAUCUCCUCCGAGACUCAGCAGAGCCGUCAGUAUCUAGCUUCAGCAAGCAGCACAAUGUUCGUAAGCUGCCGAAGUAGCACACACAACCACCACUCAGAAAAGCUGUCGAACCACCGGAUCAGGAACUACAAACGCCAGAACCAGCUGACAGUUGCAACGACACUGUAGAGGAGGAUGCAGUUUCCUUUAUUACCACUGACAUGGAAGCUCCAAGGGAAAGCUCAUUGGAACCUGCUGGACUGGACUUCUCAGGUGCAGCUUUGGGACGUCUUGUGACCACUUUCAAAGAUCAAGAGAAAGAAAUCACUAAACUUUGCGACGACUGCAGUAGUCUCAGAGAACAGCUGGGAUCAGCGAUGGCUACAGUGCGUGAGCUUCAAGCAGCAAGUGAGUCUGGCGUUUCAAGUUGCCGAAGAAAAAGAAAGGACAUGUAGUUUUUUCAUCAACAAAGACAUCAUGCUCCACACUGGGUUGCCAAAAUAUGAAGGCUCAGUGACCUUGCUUUUCUUUUUAAACCCAGGAGACAAUGGAUGCAACGUUUUGCACACUGGAGGUGGUAGUGCAGCCGGAUCUGAUAAGGGCCGCAAGAGAGAACUAAUCUGCAAGAAUGGGCUGUUCUUGGUUGUGGUGGUGAGGUUGUGCCUUGGCUUGUUUGAGGUUGACCUAGAUCACAGUCUGCAUUGCACAGUCGACGGUCUCAAGAAUGUGCAUGUCAUGGAUAGAAAGAAGAGACACAGGGGAUGACACAGACGGGACAAUCUUUCAACUUCAACUACACUUAAUUUCGACUUCAAGCACGGUACCCAACCGCUUUGUGGGAAGGGGAAACGCUUGGGGGAAAAGGGGGGAAGGCAAGAGGAUUGCGAGGAAACUUCCAAGAGGAAGGCGGUGUGGACGGGAUGAAGGGGGUCUCUGUAGCCGCCUUUGCUGGUGACUUCGUCAUAUCGACGUGUUCGUCGGAGCACAGUAUCCAUCGUCGGCCUCGGAAAAGCCAACUUUUUUUGUGAUGGAGAGAUUGACGGAAUGUAUCUCUUCUGCGGGCUUGUCGCCAUCCAAAAGGUCUCAAGUAUUUCUCGCCCGACGUGCUCGUGGUGGUCAGCCAGGGUUGCGGCGGCGAAAUUAGGUGCGCUGCCAGGGCAUUUUCUCCCAUGAAUGGCAAUCGGGUGGUUGGAAUCUUCGCCCCACAGCAUUGGGAGAUCGCAUACACAGUUUGUGCCUUGCAGAUGGUGAACUUGCAUGUUUUUUGGUGCAGCUAGGUGAAGGGGAGGAGGGGUGUCCCUCUGAUCACGGUCUUGCAUAUGUCGCCGAGCCUAGAUUUGCACGUAAAAACGACUUUUUGUGUCGAAUUUGAAGGCAAGCGCUUUCAGUGGCGGUAUGUCACAUGAAUGUACGAAAUGCGAGCCGGUCUUCUUGUGGUGGGCAACGUCUCGGUGGCCGGCUUAUGCCAGGGUUGUCUUGCCAAUUUUCUUAAGGUGGCAAGGAUUGGAUUGUUAGAAUAGCCCGCCCUAUGAAGCUGUGCGCACCAUCGGUUUAUGCUGGCCUCACGUUGGCGAGCGCAAGAUUUGGUGCCUGCAGAGGGGAGCAGGCACCCAACGAUGCCGGUUUUUACUUUUUUUCGAGCGUGCGCCUGGAAUUGGCACAAAAUUGGCUUAGUUUACAUUUUUUGAAUUUAGCUCAUUUUGAAAAGAAAAACAUUACCCCAAGUAUAGUCCACAGUUUGGUUGUUGCAUGCAUUUUUUUUCUUCGUUCUGCAAUAUAUUUUAUGUCGUCCUCUGCUCGUUUCACAUUGCUUUGCACCACCCAUAUGUAAUGCCCUUUGCAGCCUAAAAGUAUCAAAAAAGCUUGUAAUAAAGAGACAAGUGUUGCUGUA
rnacentral:lncRNA from 1 species